CGUGGGGAGGUUGGGUGGGUAAUUAUCAGGUGGUAAGUAGAAAACUUCAUUCAUAAAAUCUGAAUUUGAAAACAAAUUUAGAAUUUCAUUUCAUUCAUUUUCUACUUACCACCUGAGAAAUAUACAUACGGAUAGAUUACAAAGCCUUACCUCUCUGGUGGUAGGGUAAUUUUCUAUGGCUCUGCGUCUCUUCAUCCUGGGUAUAAUCUCUACUUCAUACCGCUUGUUCAUUUUAAAAACAUUCUUCUGUACACUAUACAAUAUUUACAAUGUCUUUAUUUUUUUCUUCUUUUCUUUAGUCUUUUUAUCUUUUUUUUUUUUUUUUUUCGAACUGCACAUUACAGUAAAAAUAUAUCAGUUUUUUUUUUGUUUUU
rnacentral:lncRNA from 1 species